GGUCGGUUAGCUCAGUUGGUUAGAGCGUCGUACUAGUAGUAUAUAUAAUUAUCAAUGAUAUAUAUAUAUAACAUUAGUGAAUGUGAAGGUCAUGAGUUCGACCCUCAUACUGACCA